CCGGUGCCGCGGCUGCGAGAGGUGCUGGUGUGUGCUGAAGGCUGGCGGUGGCUGUGCUGCCGAAGGCCAGCCUGCCGCGUCACAGACCCUCCUCGCGGCUUGAUGUCAUCGUAGCUCUCUCACUGCACAAACAGCCAAGUGUGGUGGGCUUCAGGUGCCGUCACCUCGGUCUCGAAUGUCCGUGCUUACCGACCGAGCCCCCCUCACGCGACUCUGUACGCACAGCACACGUCUGCCUCACGUAUCCGAGAUUUUUGACCAGUCUGCUUUAGCAGCACCGUUCCAGGCUGCAAACGACGGCCCUUCUCCCUGUGAAACAGAACUCAGCCUCUCAGGUUAAUACUAUGAGUUUGGAGGAGGCGUUGGGUGCUCCAAAGGCAGCCAAGGUUGUGCCCUGGAUGGACAUCUGUGGUCUCAGACAGCGAUUCCCUAGGAGGAAGGGGAGCCUUUGCCUCACCUGCAGAGCUCAGGACAGGAAAAAUCAUUACACCGAUCCCAUCUUUGCCAAAAGCUGUGGUGUUUGAGCAGCCAAAGCCAAGAGGCUUCAGCACCGGGGGUCUUCGCUGGAGGGCUCCUGGUCCUGCCCGUGCUGUGGGCAAGAGGAAAUGGGGUGCCAGAGCCGUGUCCCAUCAGGCUGCGUUUCCCUCUGAGGACAGAGAGUCUGGGCUGGGGCAAGAUUGCCACGAGCGCUUGGUGGGAUUUGUGCUGGAGAGAGAAGUGCUGUCGGGAACAAAAGGUGGAGUAAAUCCUCUCCGGGGAUGUGCAGCAAAGGACCGAAUAGUGUGGAAGGAGAGUAUUUGUAAUCUCUAUUGCUAGUUCUCCCAAAAUUGAGAUGGAGCAGUGAUGGGGGUGGUUGGGUUUGGUCUGGGCCUGCUAUUCUUUGUGCAAUUUUUAAUUGUUGUACAAUUUACUGUCCAGUAUCUUUCUAACAAAAGCUGUCAGAAAUUUAGGUUGAGGAUUAGAACUUGGGUGCAUUCACUGCAAAAAUUUGCCAAGGCUGGAGGACUGGAGUGAUGACUGUCCCCAGGAAAGCGAGAACACCAACUCACAGUCCCCUGCAUGCAGUGAGAGCUCAGCACACAUGCGCAGAGCCAAGGCCAGCAUCUGAAAGAAGAAAAAAACAGAAGAAAAAGGUGACUUCUUUUACUUUAAAGUUUUUUCAGAUUCUUGAAACCCAAGCAACAUUUGCAGUUUUGGUUGGGUGAAUCACGGGCAGUGGACACGGGUCAGGCCAUUCAUUUAGCUGAAAACCCAGGGUAAUUUAGAGGGGCACGAGAAUU